rnacentral:rRNA from 1 species
UAGAAGCAGCCAUCAUUUAAAGAAAGCGUAAUAGCUCACUGGUCGAGUCGGCCUGCGCGGAAGAUGUAACGGGGCUAAACCAUGCACCGAAGCUGCGGCAGCGACGUUUAUGCGUUGUUGGGUAGGGGAGCGUUCUGUAAGCCUGCGAAGGUGGCCUGUGAGGGUUGCUGGAGGUAUCAGAAGUGCGAAUGCUGACAUAAGUAACGAUAAAGCGGGUGAAAAGCCCGCUCGCCGGAAGACCAAGGGUUCCUGUCCAACGUUAAUCGGGGCAGGGUGAGUCGACCCCUAAGGCGAGGCCGAAAGGCGUAGUCGAUGGGAAACGGGUUAAUAUUCCCGUACUUGGUGUUACUGCGAAGGGGGGACGGAGAAGGCUAUGUUGGCCGGGCGACGGUUGUCCCGGUUUAAGCGUGUAGGUGUGUGUUCCAGGUAAAUCCGGUUCACUUUAACACUGAGGCGUGA